rnacentral:lncRNA from 1 species
AUAAUUUUCCUUUAGGAAUACUAUUGGUUUAGGUUGAGUCCAGUUUUGUGGUGGUAUAUAUCACUUUUCUAUAGCUGCUUUAAAAUUUUUCCUAAACUUGGAAGAGCAAGAACAACAACAACAACAACAACAACAACAAAUCACUCUUUCCUGUCUGGAAGCCACAUAUUAAGUUUUUUCUGGAGGCUGUGAGAAUCAAUUCCAGGCAUUCUCUUAACUUUCAGUGGUUUGUGGUAGUCCUUGGUGUUGCUUGGCUCAUAGACCCAUCACUCCAGUUUCUGGUUCUAGGGCCUUGUGGUUUCUUCCUCUCUUCUGUCUCAUAAGGAAACCAUGUUGUGCAUGUGGGGUCUAUUUGAUUAGAUUAAGGAGGAUCUCCAGUUCAAGACCCUUAACUCAUUCCACCUACCAAGAUCCUUUCCCCAAAUAAAGUCUUGUUCUCACAUUAUGGGGGUUUGGGCUUAUAUAACCCGGAGUAUGGAUAUCAUCAGAACCUGAGUAAAUGCAGCCCAAAGGCAGGGCCUUUAAAGCCUUGUAAUUCUGCUAGAGAGACCUGGUCUCUAGGGUGAUGACCAGUAGUCUUCAGAGUUUGAAGGCAGACCCUUGUCAGUGCUUGAUGCUGUUAGUAGGGUCAGUGGGAAUGAUUGGGAAAGGCAGGUUGGCUAUAGUAGGAGAGAGCUGUUGGGCUGCCUGCAGUGGCUGCAUGAGCUUCACGCUUCUUGGAUAAACAGAGAUGCAUAGGUGCAUUUCUGACCAGUACUUUAUCCUGAAAGGGUCCCAGAAAGCAGGUGUGACCCAGGUUACACAGUAGGAAGCUUGAAAACAUGGGCUUCAUGCACUGGUCAAGACAAAUCUGAGGGUGGCACAAGGUAAUGGUUGGGACCUAGUACCCUUCUAGAAGGUGGGAGCCCUUGCCACCGACUUACCCUGCAGUAUGGUGUAUGAUUAACCGUACAUCAAAGAUUUGAGAUUCUACCAUCUUUUUGACAUGAGACAUGCUCUUUUCUUUUGCAGAAUUACUUAAGCUAGAACUGGAAAAAGUGGUCGUUCCAUUCCCCUCAGGAAUUAGUCUACUUGCUUUUGCACAAAUUUUAUGUGGCCUCUGGCAGACAACUUUUAGAUCCAUACAGCUAGAAGCAUGCCCUUUCCAGAAGACCUGUUCUGGAAUAGAUAGUGCUUCUUAUGUAUGCUCUCUUCCUGUUGGCCCAUGCCCAAGAGAAAACCAGAGAGCCAGUAAGACAGUACAGAGUGCUUCACCUACUGAAGUAAUAAACGAUAAGGCAGAUUGUAGGUAGGAAUGAUAUCUAAAAAGGAACAAUUGCAGCCCUGUGUGUGACACCCUCAGGCAAGGUAAGGCCUACCUUUUAGUGUUUCCCCUUUCAAGGUGGGAGUUUGGAGAGAUGAACAAGCACUUUGGAAGCAUCCCCAGCCCUCUUUACCUGACAACAGUUUGGUCCUCACAGUGACUGCUUCAUUGGAGUGCCUCUCCAGUGUUAUGGCACCAUCAUCUGUUACCACCCAAGGCUGUGAUGAAAUAAGAUACAACAUAUCCGAUGACACAGGCCUGCAUGGCUAGCAUCUUGAACAUUUUAUUACAUGAACAUUCUCUGUACGAUGGUAUAAAAAGGCCCGAGGAUUAAAUUAUGUAUAAAAUAUGAAAUAAAGAAGUAAGACUUUC